AACAGAAUCGUUAAUUUACUCACUUAGAUCUAUUCAACGGGCAGAGGUAUCAGUCAAAGUUCAAGGAGCAGGAGGUAUGGUGCUCUCGGAAUCAACCCAAGAGCCCCAGACCUU